rnacentral:rRNA from 1 species
UACGGAGGAUGCGAGCGUUAUCCGGAUUUAUUGGGUUUAAAGGGUGCGUAGGCGGUCCGGAAAGUCAGCGGUAAAAGCCCGGGGCUCAACCCCGGCGAGCCGUUGAAACUGUCGGACUAGAGACGGCGAGAAGUACGCGGAAUGCGCGGUGUAGCGGUGAAAUGCAUAGAUAUCGCGCAGAACUCCGAUUGCGAAGGCAGCGUACCGGCGCCGGACUGACGCUGAGGCACGAAAGCGUGGGGAGCAAACAGG